rnacentral:tmRNA from 1 species
GGGGGUGCCCUGGUUUCGACAGGGUAUCACGAGGUUUAAUUUGCGUGUCUGGGUUGGUCUCUUGGCCCAGUAAAAAAGAGACCACACUUAAUUGCUGAAUCUAACGAUUUCGCACCUGCAAUAGCCGCUUAAUUAGCGUUCUAUGCAUGAGGGGUAUGCAUCCGAGAAACAGAAGCAUACAAAAUAGUUAGGAUUGCUGUUUAACUAAUCCUCAAGGAACCGUCGGGUAAACCUUGUAAAAAAACACCGGGUUUUCGCCCACUUUACAAAGGUGGGAUAGCCUUGUCUCACGGCGAUAAUCUGAGACUACACACGUAGUGGGUUAUUCUGAGGAUGCUUUGGACGUGGGUUCGAUUCCCACCACCUCCACCA